CACCUGAUAGCACAUGGUGUGCACCUGCCUUCCUUUAUUGCUCUUCUAUUCCAUUGAGAUGUAGGCAGGAGGUCCCCGUUCGACUCGGGGUCGGGUGG